UACAGAGGUGGCAAGCGUUGUUCGGAAUUACUGGGCGUAAAGGGCGCGUAGGCGGCCUUCUAAGUCGAACGUGAAAUCCCCGGGCUCAACCCGGGAACUGCGUCCGAUACUGGAAGGCUUGAAUCCGGGAGAGGGAUGCGGAAUUCCAGGUGUAGCGGUGAAAUGCGUAGAUAUCUGGAGGAACGCCGGUGGCGAAGACGGCAUCCUGGACCGGCAUUGACGCUGAGGCGCGAAAGCCAGGGGAGCAAACGGG
rnacentral:rRNA from 1 species